GAAAAAGGUCCCUCUGAAACUUAUCACAAACAUUUUACCAUACCAGAUACAGUUCCAUUAAUUGCUAAACUGGACAAAUUCUAACAGAACAGCCCAAGUCAAUUGCCAAGUGAGGCAGACCAAGCAGCUCCUGUUUGGCUGCCUGGCCCAGGCAGGUAAUGCAUCUGCAAGUGACUGAAGUUUGUUAAAUUUCCUGUAUGUAUUUGACAUUGUCUAAUUUUUACUUCCCUGAACAAUUCAGCCACUUGGCUGAACCCAGGCCAAGCAGCUGCCAUUUCACUAACCCAGAGCAGAGAGCUCACUUAUUCAGCUGUCCAACAAAAACGGUAGUACCUCCACAAAUGACUGAACAUUGCUUUAUUUUUGUGCAUAGUCUCACUUUUGCUUUUGUACACAACUCACCAACUUUAAGCAGCCCCCUGAUUGACUGAACCUAGGCGAAAGCAGCCCCACCACGCUGUCCAG